rnacentral:rRNA from 1 species
GGGCCCUAAUACAGCCCUUUAAAUACACAGGUCUGGUCCUGGCCUUCAAAUCAACUUUUUCUCGACCUACACAUGCAAGUUUCCGCCCACCAGUGAGUAUAUCCUUCAACCUCUUUUUAGAGCGGAGGAUUUGGUAUCAGGUUAUACACCAAAAACACCCAGCUACGCCACACCCACAAGGGUAUACAGCAGUGACUAACAUUGACUAUGAACGCAAGUUUGAAUCAGUCAGAGAAACCAGAGCUGGCAAAGAUGGUGCCAGCCGCCGCGGCUAAACCUUUCGGCUCAAAUUGAUUUUCACCGGCGUAAAGCGUGAUUAAAGUCUCACCCAAACUAGGGUUAAACCCAGACUACUUGUAAAAACUAUGUCUUUGAGAAAUCCCAACACGAAAGUUACCCUAUUUUCACUUGAAUCCACGACAGUUAAGACACAAACUGGGAUUAGAUACCCCACUAUGCUUAACCGUAAACUUUUACUUACACCCUCCCCUCCAACGCCAGGAUACUACGAGCAAAGCUUAAAACCCAAAGGACUUGACGGUGCCCCACAUCCCCCUAGAGGAGCCUGUCCCAUAACCGAUGAUCCCCGUUAAACCUCACCAUUUUUAGCCUAUCAACCUGUAUACUUCCGUCCACAGCCCACCACGUAAAGUGACACCAA